GUGUUACCGAAGGAGAUUAACAUUUGAGUCAGUGGGUUGGGAAAGGCAGGCCUACCCUUAAUCUGGGUGGGCACAAUCUAAUCAGCUGCCAGCAUGGCUAGAAUAAAAGCAAGCAGAAAAACGUGUAAAGAGAGACUGGCCUAGCCUCCCAGCCUACAUCUUUCUCCUGUGCUGGAUGCUUCCUGCCCUCGAACACUGGACUCUAGGUUCUUUGGUUUUGGAACUUGGACUGGCUCUCCUUGCUCCUCAGCCUGCAAACAGCCUAUUGUGGGACCUUAUGAUCACGCCUUGUAACCUGAACUCCUUCGUCUCAUUUCCAAAGGCUGCCUCUUCUCCUGAGUGGCUUCACUUGGGAUUUAAAACCUGCAUGAAGUCAAGGCUCAGACCUGGCUUCCUUGGCUCCCACUCAGAUCAUAUGGCCAAGUGGGAGUGAUCAAGACUGUGGGCUCCUCACCUGAGGCCUGUUUCUGUUGCAUCCCAGCCAUCUCCUUGUUGCAGCUGCCCAUUACCCAAUACCAAGAAGAGAGGACUUCUCCCAGUGACACUCACCCAGUGUCACCUUUGUCCACAAAUAUCUAGUCUUGUGGAACAUGUGGAUUAAAA
rnacentral:lncRNA from 1 species